UACAGAGGUCUCAAGCGUUGUUCGGAUUCAUUGGGCGUAAAGGGCGCGUAGGCGGCGGGGUAAGUCGGGUGUGAAAUCUCAGGGCUCAACCCUGAAACUGCACUCGAUACUGCUCUGCUUGAGGACUGGAGAGGAGACUGGAAUUCACGGUGUAGCAGUGAAAUGCGUAGAUAUCGUGAGGAAGACCAGUGGCGAAGGCGGAUCUCUGGACAGCUCCUGACGCUGA
rnacentral:rRNA from 1 species